rnacentral:lncRNA from 1 species
GCUUGAUGAAGUUUGACAGGUAGAAGAACUAACACCAAUGAUUGAAUCUAAAUCAGAUUUGAUGAGAUCAAACCUAGAGUCCAAUGAACAAACAUCCUUAAGGUGAUCUGAUAGAGUACCAUAUCCGUCGGACAGAUACUUAGGUUUCUUGGUCCGAGAUGGGGAUCCUAUCAAACUCGAUGAGAAUGAUGAGGAUCUGAUCACCUACAUGGAUGUAAUGUAGAGAUCCAACUCUAAUAAAUGGCUUGAAGCUAUGAGAUCCGAAAUGGAGUCCAUGAAGAUCAAUGAUG